rnacentral:SRP_RNA from 1 species
CUGAUCUGUACCGCGGGUGUUUUGCGAUGUAAGGACGCAACGCGGCCUGUGCUGAUUCAUGAUAGAAUAGGUGUAGGCGAUGGCGCAGGGCCGUCACCCGCCCGGCAGAACGCCGUGAACCCCGUCAGGUCGGAAGAAGCAGCGGUAAGCGUCACGUUCUGGGUGCGGCGGCAAAGGCGGCCCUGCGCCAUCGCCUGUCUUUUUAGCUGUCAGCGAUCAGUAAUCAG